CCCCUCCCGGAUCGCAUCUGGGGAGCUGCCCGUGCUCGCCCAGCAUCGGAAGCGGGAGGCAGAGGCGGCAGGGAGCCCAUUCCGCCGCGGCCGCCGUGGCCCCGCGCGGAAGACCAACCUGCGACAGGC
rnacentral:snoRNA from 1 species